rnacentral:rRNA from 1 species
AACGAACGCUGGCGGCAUGCCUAACACAUGCAAGUCGAACGAGACCUUCGGGUCUAGUGGCGCACGGGUGCGUAACGCGCGGGAAUCUGCCCCUUGGUUCGGAAUAACAGUUAGAAAUGACUGCUAAUACCGGAUGAUGACGAAAGUCCAAAGAUUUAUCGCCGAGGGAUGAGCCCGCGUAGGAUUAGCUAGUUGGUGAGGUAAAGGCUCACCAAGGCGACGAUCCUUAGCUGGUCUGAGAGGAUGAUCAGCCACACUGGGACUGAGACACGGCCCAGACUCCUACGGGAGGCAGCAGUGGGGAAUAUUGGACAAUGGGCGAAAGCCUGAUCCAGCAAUGCCGCGUGAGUGAUGAAGGCCUUAGGGUCGUAAAGCUCUUUUACCAGGGAUGAUAAUGACAGUACCUGGAGAAUAAGCUCCGGCUAACUCCGUG